rnacentral:tRNA from 44 species
UCCUCAGUAGCUCAGCGGUAGAGCGGUCGGCUGUUAACUGACUGGUCGUAGGUUCGAAUCCUACUUGGGGAG